rnacentral:rRNA from 1 species
UACGUAGGGUGCAAGCGUUAAUCGGAAUUACUGGGCGUAAAGCGUGCGCAGGCGGCUUUGCAAGACAGAUGUGAAAUCCCCGGGCUUAACCUGGGAACUGCAUUUGUGACUGCAUGGCUGGAGUGCGGCAGAGGGGGAUGGAAUUCCGCGUGUAGCAGUGAAAUUCGUAGAGAUGCGGAGGAACACCGAUGGCGAAGGCAGCCCCCUGGGCUAACACUGACGCUCGAGGCACG